rnacentral:rRNA from 1 species
UACAGAGGUCUCAAGCGUUGUUCGGAUUCAUUGGGCGUAAAGGGUGCGUAGGCGGCGCGGUAAGUCGGGUGUGAAAUCUUGGAGCUUAACUCCGAAACUGCAUUCGAUACUGCCGUGCUUGAGGACUGGAGAGGAGACUGGAAUUUACGGUGUAGCGGUGAAAUGCGUAGAUAUCGUAAGGAAGACCAGUGGCGAAGGCGGGUCUCUGGAAAGUUCCUGACGCUGAGGCACGAAGGCCAGGGGAGCAAACGGG